ensembl:lncRNA
UAAUUGACUGUCAGGGAUUCUAGAAUACUCAUGGCCAACAUCUGUCUGACUGUCAGGGAUUCUAGAAUAAUCAUAGCCAGCAUCUGUCUGACUGUCAGGGAUUCUAGAAUACUCAUGGCCAGCAUCUGUCUGACUGUCAGGGAUUCUAGAAUACUCAUGGCCAGCAUCUGACUGUCAGGGAUUCCAGAAUACUCAUGACCAGCAUCUGUCUGACUGUCAGGGAUUCUAGAAUACUCAUGGCCAGCAUCUGACUGUCAAGAAUUCUAUAAUACUCAUGGCCAGCAUCGGACUGUCAGGGAUUCUAGAAUACUCAUGGCCAGCAUCUGUCUGACUGUCAGGGAUUCUAGAAUACUCAUGGCCAACAUCUGUCUGACUGUCAGGGAUUCUAGAAAACUCAUGGCCAGCAUCUGACUGUCAGGGAUUCCAGAAUACUCAUGGCCAGCAUCUGUCUGACUGUCACUCCACAAAGGUAGUGUCACAUAGAAACACAGAGACUGUUGAUGCUGGGGAUAAUUGUGCAUGACUGUGACUCAGACAAUACGAUCUCUUCCUUUGAGAUGAAUCAAAGAGUGUUUCAGUGUUUGAGGGUGAAGUUUGGUGUGAGCUGCAGUUAAAAUAACCUCUGGAAAGACCUGACCAUAGGUAGUAGUGGUAUCAGCACUAUAAGUCAUUCCAGGGACAUAAUCCCCACCACUGUUUCUGUAAAAUGUUGAGGCAUGGGGAUGGUGAAAUGUAAUCAAUGUAAAAUGGAGGCUCUAAGCUCAUGAUGCAUUUAUAAGUUAUAUUCUUCAAAAAUCAACAGGUACAUAUCAUAGUGUAUAAGUCAAAAAAUUGAUGUAGAAACUGCACUUUGCCCUUUAAUGUGACUGUACCACAAUAGUCUAUCAGUCCAUCAGUUAACUUCUGAUGACCCUGUUAUUCUGUCACCUACAAUGCAUCGAGGCAGUGCCAGCCAGGACCUGACAUCUGCAUUUGAGCAGAGAUGCAAGGCCUACUGGGAGGUUGGGUCAUGUGUGCUGCCCCAAGUGACAUCAUUCCCAGUCUGGGCCAACUUCUGACACACUUCCCAAUCUAGAGAAUAAUAAAUAAAUACAUAAAUAAAUAAAUAAAGGUGGAUGAAUAAAAUAUGACUGCAGCCAACGGCGUUCACAGUCCAGGUACCCCAGACUCACAGAGAGACCUACACAAUUAACACUCACAUGACACACUCAGUGGGCACACACACACACACAAUGAAUAAAUAAAAUAACGUGUAACCUUAGUGGUCUCUCACAUCUCUUCAUAAUUCAUCUGCGUGCACACAGUCAUCUCUAGGCAAAUCUCAUGCCCUUUUAGAUGACAGGGAGGUAGAGAGAGAGAGAGAGAGAGAGAGAGAGAGAGAGAGAGAGAGAGAGAGAGAGAGAGAGAGAGAGAGAGAGAGAGAGAGAGAGAGACAGAGACAGAGAGAGAGAGAGAGAGAGAGAGAGAGAGAGAGACAGACAGAGACAGAGAGAGAGAGAGAGAGAGACAGAGACAGAGAGAGAC